UACGAAGGGUGCAAGCGUUACUCGGAAUUACUGGGCGUAAAGCGUGCGUAGGCGGUUCGUUAAGUCUGUCGUGAAAGCCCUGGGCUCAACCUGGGAAUUGCGAUGGAUACUGGCGAGCUAGAGUACGGUAGAGGAUGGUGGAAUUCCCGGUGUAGCGGUGAAAUGCGUAGAGAUCGGGAGGAACACCCGUGGCGAAGGCGGCCAUCUGGACCAGUACUGACGCUGAGACUCGAAAGCAUGGGGAGCAAACAGG
rnacentral:rRNA from 1 species